rnacentral:rRNA from 1 species
UCUCGUUGAUCCUGCGAGAGAUUUCUGCUAGAGGAGUUGGAUUAAGCCAUGAAAGUGAGUUAGGUUUUUCCUGACCGCAGAAGGCUGAGUAACACGUCAUUAAUCUGCCUUAUGGUGCCCAAUAAUCUCGGGAAACUGAGUGUAAAAAGUAUAGUUAUCUGAAACUGGAAUGUUAAGAUGACAAACAUAAGAUGAGAUGGCGGCCGAUUAGGUAGUUGGUGAGGUAAUGGCUCACCAAGCCUUUGAUCGGUAGGGGUCGUGAGAGCGAUGACCUCCAGAAGGACACUGAGAUAAGGGUCCUAGCCCUAAGGGGUGCAGCAGGCGCGAAAACUCUACAAUGCACGCAAGUGUGAUAGGGCAACUCCUCGUGCUUAUCGAAAGAUAGGCUUUUGCCAAGUUUAAUGCACUUGGCGAAUAAGUGGUGGGCAAGACUGGUGCCAGCAGCCGCGGUAAUACCAGCGCCACAAGUGGAAAUCACUAUUAUUGGGUCUAAAGCGUUCGUAGCUGGUUUUUUUAAGUUUCUUGUGAAAGCUCUGAGGCUCAACCCAGAAAUUGCAAGAAAUACUGAAAAACUUGAGACCGGGAAAGGUAAAAGGUAUUGUUUGGGUAGCGGUUAAAUGCUAUAAUCCUUACAAGACCAACUAAUGCGAAGGCAUUUUACUAGAACGGAUCUGACAGUGAGGAACGAGAGCCAGGGGAGCGAACCGGAUUAGAUACCCGGGUAGUCCUGGCCGUAAACGCUGCGGGUUACGCUUUGCUAAAUCUACGAGAUUUAGCAGGGGGGUAGCGAAGGCAUUAAACCCGCCACCUGGGAAGUACAGCCGCAAGGCCGAAACUUAAAGGAAUUGCCGGGGGAGUACUACAAGGGGUGCGGCGUGCCGUUUAAUUGGAUUUUACACCGAGAAACUUACCAGGGGCGACAGCCGAAUGAAGGUCAGAUUAAAGGUUUUACCUAACACGCUGAGAGGUGCUGCAUGGCCGCCGUCAGCUCGUGCUGUAAGGUGUCCUCUUAAGUGAGGAAACGAGCAAGACCUAUGCCUAUAAUUGCUAACUGAGUCUAUCAGAGCACAUUAUAGGGACUGCCUUGGCAACAAGGAGGAGGGUGUAGGCUACGGUAGGUCUGUAUAGCCCGAAUCUCCUGGGCUACAAGCGCGCAACAAUGGUAGGGACAAUGAGACGCAACUCCGAAAGGAGAAGCAAAUCUCCAAACCCUAUCUUAGUUUAGAUCGAGGUUUGUAACUCAGCCUCGUGACAACGGAAUCCCUAGUAACCGGGUGUUAUCAACGCCCGGUGAAUAUGUCCAUUCUCCUUGGACACACUGCCCGUCAAACCAACCAAGUAGGGCUUAGACGAGGCCAUAUUUUUUGAUAUGGUCAAGUCUGAGUUCUGUAAGGGGGGUUAAGUCGACACAAGGUA